rnacentral:rRNA from 1 species
UACGUAGGUGAGCAGCGUUGUCCGGAUUUACUGGGCGUAAAGAGCGCGCAGGCGGUCGUUCAAGUCGAGUGUGAAAGCCCCCGGCUCAACCGGGGAGGGUCACUCGAUACUGAUCGACUUGAAGGCAGGAGAGGGAAGCGGAAUUCCCGGUGUAGUGGUGAAAUGCGUAGAUAUCGGGAGGAACACCGGUGGCGAAGGCGGGUCUCUGGGCCGAUACUGACGCUGAGGAGCGAAAGCGUGGGGAGCAAACAGG